GAGAGAGAGAGCCACACAGGUCUAUACACAGUCCUCUCUUUAAAUAAAGGCUGGGCCCAGCCUCAAAGGCUUGCUUACCCCACUGAGAAAUCCCACUCCCCCUCUCGAAGCCCCCAAGUCUACCCUGCUCUGCCAGGAGCAGCCCUGAUCCGAGUUCUCACCCAGGACUGACAGCUAAGAUGCUGUUGGAGGUUGAGGACAGGAUGAAAGGAGGCAGCAGGAGCAGGUGGCAGGGGCUCUACCGACUUCCUGAAUGGAAGUUUCAUGCUUCCAACUUCCGCUAGGGGCAGUGCUGCCCGACCACUCAGAGAAGUGCGCUUUCAACAGGUGCAGAGCAGCAGUGGGGCUUAGAAGGGACUAGUAUCUGGAAGGUCAGUGUCAAGACACCCUGAUGAAGAAAGGACCAGCUGAAGUUUGCACAGAAGAAUCUUGGGUCUGGGGAUGAUGGCUGAGUUCUCUGGAGCCUCAGGAGUCUUGGAUGAGAGUGCAGGGAGGGGUUUUCCUGGUGACCAGAAAUGCCACAGCUAUUCAGUGUUCUCCAGGCCCACCAGACAUCCCUGUUGGUCUUAUGAUUGCCUGCCAGAGUCAACCAGCCACCGGGGAGACCAUAG
rnacentral:lncRNA from 1 species